rnacentral:lncRNA from 1 species
AAAGUCUAGCUGAUUAUGCCUAUGAGUGAGCUGUGCAAUGAGAGUUAAGGUUUCUGAUACUCAAAGUAUUUAUUAUGCCUGUUCUAAAUUUUUAAUCAAGCCUCUUAACAACUUGGGUUAGUAAUGCCUGAGAGAAACACGCUGUUUGCAGACAUCUUGGUUUGCUGAAUCAUGUGAUAGUCGUACUCCUGUGGAAAAGUCGGUGUAUAACCUUCCCUUCCUCCACUUCAUGGGAGACUCCAAGAAGUCAGUUGGGAUACGUGCAAAGCGUGUGGGCAAGUUAGGUCAUAUUCAGGGAUGAGGUAAGAUGUUUCGUAAUUUAUGCAUUGCUGAGUGGGUGUAAAUUAUGCUGAAUGGCUAGAUCCUGUGAUUUUCUGGUAGUUACUGUCCU